AAAUUCUUCCCACCCCUAGCGGGAGCUUCACUGACUCAAUGGCUGCAGUGAGCUCAUCGCUGCAGGCUAGCCGAGGCUGGUCCACCUCAAAGAGGCACAUAUCGCAAUCUAUCCAUGGUUUUCUGCUGUCUUUACUCUCCCGGAGGUCGGAGGAGCCGCCGGUGGAUCAUCAGCAUCGAUUCAGUCGUUCGGCUCGUUCCUAGCUACCGCAAGCAUAAUUU
rnacentral:lncRNA from 1 species